rnacentral:rRNA from 1 species
UACGUAGGGGGCAAGCGUUGUCCGGAAUUAUUGGCGUAAAGAGCGUGUAGGCGGCCAGAUAAGUCCGCUGUGAAAUCUCGAGGCUCAACUUCGAGCUGUCGGUGGAAACUAUCUGGCUAGAGUCCGGAAGAGGAGAAUGGAAUUCCUGGUGUAGCGGUGAAAUGCGCAGAUAUCAGGAAGAACACCAAUGGCGAAGGCAGCUCUCUGGGACGGUACUGACGCUGAGACGCGAAAGCGUGGGGAGCGAACAGG